ACAUGUUGCCAGCAUGCAUUACACUGUUGGACACAUAUUAAGUACUUAAUAAAUGCUUUACCAAAUCAUUUAUCCAUCUACAAAGAGCAAGAAGGCCAACUUGGCCAAAAUAAAUAGUAUUGUGUGAGAGACUAAAAUGAAAUACUGGAUUGUCUGGAAAGGCAAAAUGAUUCUUUUUGUGAUUUCCUACCAAGAGUUCUGGGGAAAAGACUAGUAACACCAUGCUAAGUCACAGGUAAUGACCAAAGGGGAAAGACCAUUCAUUCCAUGCUAAGUCAAAGCAGGGAAGAGCUCAUAUGAAGUCUCUCUUUGCCACAAAUUAUGCAGUUGAGUUUCCUGCAGUUGGGGAAAUUACAGGGGUCAGCCCAUCUGCAAUGGAUAAGCCUCGCUGGGGAAAUCACCCUUCUGGUCAUGGAAUCGCCCCUGCCAGAGAGGUUUCUUUCCGACAUAUUAACUACAAAUGAUUGUGAACAGGCCCUGAUGAAAAGAGCUCAUCCUCUUAGGAUUUGGUUAUAAAAAGUAAGUAUAAAGAGUUAAACCGAGUGACCCCAGCAGAGGUGGCCAAAUCUCAUCUAAUCAAAUCCUGAUG
rnacentral:lncRNA from 1 species